rnacentral:rRNA from 1 species
UGGAGAGUUUGAUCUGGCUCAGGACGAACNCUGGNNGNGUGCUUAACACAUGCAAGUCGAACGGUGAAGGGAUCAGCUUGCUGGUUCUGGAUGAGUGGCGAACGGGUGAGUAACACGUGAGUAACCUGCCCCCUUCUUCUGGAUAACCGCAUGAAAGUGUGGCUAAUACGGGAUAUUCUGCGCCUGCUGCAUGGUGGGUNUGGGAAAGAUAUUGUUUCGGUGGGGGAUGGGCUCGCGGCCUAUCAGCUUGUUGGUGGGGUGAUGGCCUACCAAGGCGGUGACGGGUAGCCGGCCUGAGAGGGUGGACGGUCACACUGGGACUGAGACACGGGCCCAGACUCCUACGGGAGGCAGCAGUGGGGAAUAUUGCACAAUGGGCGCAAGCCUGAUGCAGCGACGCCGCGUGAGGGAUGGAGGCCUUCGGGUUGUGAACCUCUUUCGCCAGUGAAGCAGGCCUGUCCCUUUUGUGGGUGGGUUGACGGUAGCUGGAUAAGAAGCGCCGGCUAACUACGUGCCAACACCCGCGGUA